AUUGAACGCUGGCGGCAGGCCUAACACAUGCAAGUCGAGCGAGCGGCGGACGGGUGAGUAAUGUAUGGGGACUGCCCGAUAGAGGGGGAUAACUACUGGAAACGGUAGCUAAUACCGCAUACUAUCGGAUAACCCAUAUGGGAUUAGCUAGUAGGUGGGGUAAUGGCUCACCUAGGCGACGAUCCCUAGCUGGUCUGAGAGGAUGACCAUCCACACUGGAACUGAGACACGGCCCAGACUCCUACGGAGGCAGCAGUGGGGAAUAUUGCACAAUGGGCGCAAGCCUGAUGCAGCCAUGCCGCGUGUAUGAAGAAGGCCUUAGGGUUGUAAAGCACUUUCAGCUGGGAGGCGUUACCAACAGAAGAAGCACCGGCUAACUCCGUGCCAGCAGCCGCGGUAAUUC
rnacentral:rRNA from 1 species